rnacentral:rRNA from 1 species
UACGUAGGUGGCAAGCGUUAUCCGGAAUUAUUGGGCGUAAAGCGCGCGCAGGCGGUUUCUUAAGUCUGAUGUGAAAGCCCACGGCUCAACCGUGGAGGGUCGUUGGAAACUGGGGAACUUGAGUGCAGAAGAGAAAAGCGGAAUUCCACGUGUAGCGGUGAAAUGCGUAGAGAUGUGGAGGAACACCAGUGGCGAAGGCGGCUUUUUGGUCUGUAACUGACGCUGAGGCGCGAAAGCGUGGGGAGCAAACAGG